ACAUCUACAAACAAUACAAAUACAUGGACCAAAGAGAAUAAAGUGCAAAAUACUUUAAUGUCAAAUUAAAAAUGAUUCACAUCAGGAAGCAAGGCUGACAAGCUGUUUCACAUAGGUCUCUUCAUUCUGCGUGGUAACAAAGAAAGAAAGAAAGAAAGAAGGACGUAAUGAUAUUUUUGAGAUUUUUGUGAAUGUGUGACUGCUCACAAGUACAGAAUGAUGUAAAGUUAAUAGAGCUCAAAAUAAAUCUGGAACAUUAACACAUUUUCUCAGUCAUAAAGGGUGUCCAUUACACAACUACAAAAAGAGUUAUCAUUUUCCAUGCCUUCAAUUAGAUGAAUUCUACGUUUACUCAAAAACCUCUUGAAAACAUAAAUUUGCAUCGCCGGACCAGCAUUAUCCAGCCAUAAGCCCAUAGCUGUCCACACUACACAUUACUUCAUUACUUCAUUAGCAGUAAUGCAACAUCAGCAAAGAGCACAAACAGCAAUGACUAUUCUCUGAACACUGAGUUUAGCCAAAGUUCUUCAAAAGGAAAUUUCCGUAUUCAGAUCCUUCAUUUCCCUUGUGUCUCUUUCCAGUGCUGCUUUGAUCAUCUUUGAAUUGUACACCCAAAAGACCUCAUGAUAUCCUUGUAGUCUCUACCAGUGGCCCAGUUGUUGGAGAUUUAACAGUGACAAGGUCACAGAUUGAGUUUCCACAGCAUUCAGUCAGCACAAUAUGUAACAACACAUCAGUCAGUGCCUGUUUUGAGACUAAACCGCAGUCUUGGUGCUAUGUGUUUUCUAUUGAUGGAUUUUCAUGUAUGGUGACCACGGUGGACCCGCUGUUGGUGCUGAACUGCUCAACUUGAUUCCCCUCCGCACUGGUGAGCUCUGCUCUGGGCAGCCGGAAGCUGCUCUCUGAGGCUGGGUUUGAGUUGGUGAUGCUCCCUGACACAGAGCUGAUUCCCACGGGCGUCAGCGGAAAGUUGCUUUGAACUGUAGAUUGGGACAUCUUCGGACGAGGUUUUGAACUUCUACUGGUUCCCAGGAGUCUGGAUUCACGUGUCCGCCUGAACAAAAAACAAACAAAGACAUUGGGAAGACAAAUUUAUAGAUUUUUCUUUUAAAUUUGUGAUUCCUGUAAUAAUUCCAUAAUAAUAGCAGUUUUUUACUUGGCUUUUGUCUUUUUACUGUAGUAGCUAUAUGAAUAAAAUAAAAAUCUCAUUUACA
ensembl:lncRNA